AGAGUUUGAUCAUGGCUCAGAUUGAACGCUGGCGGCGUGCUUAACACAUGCAAGUCGAACGAGAAAGCCGUCUUCGGAUGGUGAGUAGAGUGGCGCACGGGUGAGUAACGCGUGGAUGAUCUACCUUGGAGCAUGGGAUAACAGUUGGAAACGGCUGCUAAUACCGUAUACGCUGCGAUUUUAACGAUUGUGGGAAAGAUGGCCUCUACAUGUAAGCUAUCGCUCUGAGAUGAGUCCGCGUUCCAUUAGCUAGUUGGUGGGGUAAAGGCCUACCAAGGCGACGAUGGAUAGCUGGUCUGAGAGGAUGGCCAGCCACACUGGAACUGAAACACGGUCCAGACUCCUACGGGAGGCAGCAGUGGGGAAUAUUGCGCAAUGGGGGGAACCCUGACGCAGCGACGCCGCGUGCGGGACGAAGGCUUUCGGGUCGUAAACCGCUGUCAGGAGGGGAGAACCAUACGGAUUCGAACAGGGUCUGUAUCUGACGGUACCUCCAGAGGAAGCACCGGCUAACUCCGUGCCAGCAGCCGCGGUAAUACGGAGGGUGCGAGCGUUAAUCGGAAUCACUGGGCGUAAAGCGUGCGUAGGUGGCGUAUCAAGUCAGGUGUGAAAGCCCUCGGCUCAACCGAGGAAUUGCACUUGAAACUGGUAUGCUAGAGUCUCGGAGAGGGUGGCGGAAUUCCCGGUGUAGGAGUGAAAUCCGUAGAUAUCGGGAGGAACACCAGUGGCGAAGGCGGCCACCUGGACGAUGACUGACACUGAGGUACGAAAGCGUGGGGAGCAAACAGGAUUAGA
rnacentral:rRNA from 1 species